rnacentral:rRNA from 1 species
UCCUUCGGGAAUGCUGACGACCGGCGCACGGGUGAGUAACGCGUAUGCAACCUUCCUGUAUCUGGAGGAUAGGCCUUGGAAACGAGGAUUAAUACUGCGUAACAUUAUAUUAUCGCAUGGUAAAAUAAUCAAAUCUACGGAGGAUACAGAUGGGCAUGCGUGCCAUUAGCUAGAUGGUAAGGUAAGGGCUUACCAUGGCGACGAUGGCUAGGGGUUCUGCAAGGAAGAUCCCCCACACUGGUACUGAGACACGGACCAGACUCCUACGGGAGGCAGCAGUGAGGAAUAUUGGUCAAUGGAGGCAACUCUGAACCAGCCAAGCCGCGUGAAGGAAGACUGUUCUAUGAAUUGUAAACUUCUUUUGUGACAGAGUAAAGAUAGCUACGCGUAGUCAUUUGCAAGUAUGUCAUGAAUAAGCAUCGGCUAACUCCGUGCCAGCAGCCGCGGUAAUACGGAGGAUGCAGGCGUUAUCCGGAUUUAUUAGGUUUAAAGGGUGUUCAGGCUGUCUGGUAAGUCAGAGGUGAAAGUCGGUUGCUUAACGAUCGAAUUGCCUUUGAAACUGUCAGACUUGAGUAUGGAUGCGGUAGGCGGAAUGUGUAGUGUAGCGGUGAAAUGCAUAGAUAUUACACAGAACACCGAUUGCGAAAGCAGCUUACCAAACCAGCACUGACGCUGAAGCACGAAAGCGUGGGUAGCGAACAGGAUUAGAUACCCUGGUAGUCCACGCAGUAAACGAUGCUCACUCGCUGUUGGCAAUAGAUCGUCAGCGGCUAAGGGAAACCGAUAAGUGAGCCACCUGGGGAGUACGAUCGCAAGAUUGAAACUCAAAGGAAUUGACGGGGGCCCGCACAAGCGGUGGAACAUGUGGUUUAAUUCGAUGAUACGCGAGGAACCUUACCUGGGCUUAAAUGUACGAUGCAUAAGUGUGAAAGCACUUUCUCCUUCGGGACUUUGUACAAGGUGCUGCAUGGUUGUCGUCAGCUCGUGCCGUGAGGUGUCGGGUUAAGUCCCAUAACGAGCGCAACCCCUAUUGUUAGUUACCAGCGCGUAAAGGCGGGGACUCUAGCGAAACUGCCGGUGUAAACCGCGAGGAAGGUGGGGAUGACGUCAAAUCAGCACGGCCCUUAUGUCCAGGGCUACACACGUGUUACAAU